rnacentral:rRNA from 1 species
UACGUAGGGUGCGAGCGUUGCCCGGAUUCAUUGGGCGUAAAGGGUGCGUAGGCGGCGCGGUAAGUCGGGUGUGAAAUCUCGGGGCUUAACUCCGAAACUGCAUUCGAUACUGCCGUGCUUGAGGACUGGAGAGGAGACUGGAAUUUACGGUGUAGCGGUGAAAUGCGUAGAUAUCGUAAGGAAGACCAGUGGCGAAGGCGGGUCUCUGGACAGUUCCUGACGCUGAGGCACGAAGGCCAGGGGAGCAAACGGG